rnacentral:tRNA from 1 species
GAAAACAUAAUUUAAUGAUAAAUAACGAAAUUUCUUCGGUCUUGAAAACCGGCGAGGGGAAACCCUCCCAGAGUUCGAAUCUCUGCGCUUCCGCCA